rnacentral:lncRNA from 1 species
UUAGUGGUUUACUAGUUACGGAACUCCGCGCGUUGCGGCGAAAAGUCGAUACAAUAGUUAAUUAUUAGAAUAAUUAAUAUAAUUUUUAAUAUUAUUCAUUAAUAUUUUUGAAUAAUAUUUAUUUUCGUAGCGAGUAUAUUUAAGAAAAAAAGGUAAACGGAAUCCUGCGUGUUGUGACGAGAAGUUGAUAUAAUUGUCAAUUAUUAAAACUAUUAAUAUUAUUUUUAAUAUUAUCCAUUAAUAUUUUGGAAUAAUAUGUAUUUUCGUAGUGAGUAUAUUUAGAGAAAGAAGGUAGAACAGAAAGAGAAAGCUUUUUCGCUGUAGCUAGAGCAGUAAUGGUAUUUGUGACAGAGGCAGUCCAUUAAGCGAAGGAGCAAGCACACUCUAGCAUAAACGAUAUCAUGUAUGCUACCAUAGUCGCCAAAUUUGACCUAUAUUCUCAGGAAAAAGGACCAUUAAGGUAUUAGAAAAAUAACGCAACAAAUAUAACUAUAUUAAUUAUUUUAUAACAAAUUAAUACUAUAUAUAUACUUACAUAUUAGGUCAUUAAUUAGGUAUGGGAAAAAAAUGAUGUUAAUAGUUCGAGCUGAAACGGUAAAAGCGUAAACAAACGGUGGGUUUGCAUUUAUGGUUUAAAAGGUGGUGCGCAAAAGAAACAGUAAUUUAUUAUAGUUUUUAAUUUAAUUUUUUUCAAUUAUGAAAUUUUGUAAACUAAGAUGGAUUAAUUUUAAGUAAUUUAUUGCGAUGACAUCAAGAGAUAUGAAAAUUUGAAAAGGAAACUAAAUAGAUGAUAAGAUAAUAAGAUAAUUAACACACACACACACACACACACACACACACACACACACACACACACACACACACACAC